UUCUCCGCUUCAUCUUCUUACAUCCAAAUCAGGGUAUGAAAAGUGAAAACAAACGUAAGUAACUCGAACUCAAAACUGCAGCGAGGACCACACUCACGCUAAUCGUUCUGUGAAGCGGAUCUAUAGUAUACUACAAGGCUACAUCUAUUUGUGUGGUCUGCUGACAUCUUACUUUCUAAUGCCACAUGGAAUCCCGAUUAGAUGAUGAAAAUGACAGAAUGGAAGUUUCUGAGGAUGUGGAUUUGAGUACAUAUGAAGUUGAGAUACAUCAAGAAACUCAUGAAGGGAAGAUGGUGGGUUGGUCUCCGGCAACACCUACCAGCCAUUGAUAAGCAUCAGAGCAACUAUAUCCCGCCGGGUUCGAAUUCCACACCCAGCAAUCAUCCACGGUUUCGUGUGAAGGGCCCUGCAUGGAGGUGAUCGUGGGUUUGUAGGGAUCCGGUAACUCAGUAUACAACAUGGAGAGGUUCCAAGAGCCCUCCACCCAAACAUCAGAGAUGGUUAGAGCGGUGUCGCUAAUAUGAACAAAAGGGACCAAAGCACAGAGUUUGCCCAAUCCUGUCCAAUCACUAUACCAGAAGCUGGUGCAGCCAUCAUGGAUAGCGAAGGAGAGGCCAUCUCGCAAGACAGAAAAAGCCUUAACCAGACCCUUCCAAACAUACGAAGAAGAGCCAGUAAGCUCAUAGGAAAAAAUGGAGGAGCCCUUGAGGUACUUGGUGAUGAAAAUGCGGCUCCCUAGUUUCCAAGCGAGCUUACCCAACAAGGAAACAUUGGACUCCCUAGUAGAUCGCACGCCGAGGCCCCCUUGGUUCUUGGGCAAUACAAUUUGCUUCCAGUUGACACCUUUUCUUAGUGGUAAACAAAAUAUUUAUUAAAAAUAUAAAAAAGUGUGACUUAUUGUAUUAGCGUAUUAACAAGUUAUAUUUUCAAUAAUAUUUAUUUUUAAGUAUAAUUACAAA